GCCAAGUUCCUCUCAUCAUCAUC
rnacentral:snRNA from 1 species